rnacentral:rRNA from 1 species
CAGCAGUAGCCGCGGGAAUACAGAGGGUGCGAGCGUUAAUCGGAUUUACUGGGCGUAAAGCGUGCGUAGGCGGCUUCUUAAGUCGGAUGUGAAAUCCCUGAGCUUAACUUAGGAAUUGCAUUCGAUACUGGGAAGCUAGAGUAUGGGAGAGGAUGGUAGAAUUCCAGGUGUAGCGGUGAAAUGCGUAGAGAUCUGGAGGAAUACCGAUGGCGAAGGCAGCCAUCUGGCCUAAUACUGACGCUGAGGUACGAAAGCAUGGGGAGCAAACAGGAUUAGAUACCCCAGUAGUCCCUGUCUCUUAUAC